rnacentral:rRNA from 1 species
UACAGAGGUCUCAAGCGUUGUUCGGAUUCAUUGGGCGUAAAGGGUGCGUAGGUGGCGCCAUAAGUCAGGUGUGAAAUCUCGGGGCUUAACCUGGGAACUGCAUUUGUGACUGCAUGGCUAGAGUGCGGCAGAGGGGGAUGGAAUUCCGCGUGUAGCAGUGAAAUGCGUAGAUAUGCGGAGGAACACCGAUGGCGAAGGCAAUCCCCUGGGCCUGCACUGACGCUCAUGCACGAAAGCGUGGGGAGCAAACGGG